AUUAAGCUAGUGAGAGUAAAGGCGUGUGUGUGUGUGUGGGUCGGUGGUUCAGAUACAGAGCGCGAAUUUGAAUAUCGUUUCUGGGGUUUUGGCCAAUUUGGGGAAGAAGAAGAAGAAGAAGAAGAAGAGGGAAUAAUAAUGGCGGGAAAGCGUCCGUCGCCGUUUUCUUCUCCGCUGCUAAGACCACCACCGGAGCUUCUGAAUGUGAAGGAGGAAGUAGAAACGGAGGCGUCGUGCUGGAGGAAGGAGGUGGACGAGAACUUGAAGCGUCUUCAAUCGCUGCUCUUCGGCGCCGACCAGUUUCUAGAGAAAUCUGAUUUCUCCUCCGCGCAGAUCCUUGGGCUUCGCCUUCUAGGUUUCCUCGAUUCUCGCUCCGUUACUGACGCCGAUCGUGAUUUCAUCGGUCCUAUCCGCCGAGAAGUUGCUUCUAAGGUCGAUUUAGCUUUGGAAGGCCUCGUUUCAGAUUCGGAUCGGAAAGCGUUUGAGCUUGCAAAAGCAGCUCCAGGCCCUAUUUUUUGCAGCAAAGGUGAAUUUGAUGUGGAAAAGAUUAAGCAAUCAAAACACUUUGGUUAUCAUCUCAGUCAAUAUAACGGAAAUGGUGUUAAGGAGAUGGAAGAACGACAGGAUACAGAUAAGUUGGUUUCCAAAGCACCAAAGUCAAUGAUGCAAGCCAAACUGACAUCAUUGUAUGGACACAGCAUGGCUAAACCAGAUAAUCAACGCAGAACUUCCAUGAAUAAUAUAGACCGUGCCUCUGAUGAAUGUGUCAUUGUUGAGAGAAGUCAUGGAUUUGGUUUUGGAACAAAGCGAACUCAUGCAGAAACCAGCAGCCUAGCAAAUGAUGGGGAAAUAAAGGCAGAUGGAGCUGCUAAUGGAUUUGUAUCCGCCAAAAUAAAACUGGAAAUGGAUGCAAGGCAAAGACGAGGAUCAACCGAGUCACCUCUUUCUCCACAGAGUGACAAAAAUGCUUUAGGUAGGGGAUAUGGUUCAAGAUCGGGUGGAUUAAGACGUGGAUACCGUGGUAAUUUUGUCCCUCCUGUUAAAUCUAAUGGGAAUAAUGUUGGAAACCUGACGUCUCGUAUUGGUGGAAAGACCGACGAUGCACUGGAUGACUCAACCAGAACAUGUUUGGAGAUGCUCUGUGGUCCUGAUGGUGAGCUUCCCGAGAAGUUGAGAAAUUUGGAACCUCGUCUUAUAGAGCAUGUCAGCAACGAGAUUAUGGAUCGAGACCCCAAUGUCCGCUGGGAUGAUAUUGCUGGUCUGGAGCAUGCUAAAAAGUGUGUAACUGAGAUGGUCAUUUGGCCAUUGUUGCGUCCUGACAUUUUCAAAGGUUGUCGUUCACCUGGAAAAGGACUUCUUCUCUUUGGCCCACCAGGAACUGGUAAAACAAUGAUUGGAAAAGCUAUUGCUGGAGAAGCAAAAGCAACUUUUUUCUAUAUAUCAGCCAGUUCAUUGACAAGCAAAUGGAUUGGCGAAGGUGAAAAGUUAGUGAGGGCCCUUUUUGGAGUCGCAAGUUGCCGCCAGCCUGCAGUAAUAUUUGUCGAUGAAAUAGAUUCUCUACUAUCUCAGCGUAAGUCAGAUGGUGAACAUGAAUCGAGUAGAAGACUCAAGACACAAUUCCUGAUUGAAAUGGAAGGUUUUGACAGUGUCAGCGAGCAAAUUCUCCUUAUAGGAGCAACAAAUAGGCCCCAAGAGCUCGAUGAAGCUGCACGAAGACGACUAACCAAGAGACUCUACAUUCCUCUUCCUUCAUCUGAAGCAAGAGCAUGGAUUAUACAGAAUCUCCUAAAGAAAGAUGGGUUGUUUACUCUGUCGGAUGAUGAUAUGAACAUCAUAUGCAGCCUAACUGAAGGGUACUCGGGAUCAGAUAUGAAGAACCUGGUGAAAGAUGCAACUAUGGGUCCAUUAAGAGAAGCUCUCAAACGAGGCAUAGAUAUAACUAACCUGACGAAAGAUGACAUGCGUCUUGUAACUCUUCAGGAUUUUAAAGACGCAUUGCAAGAAGUAAGGCCUUCUGUUUCUCAGAAUGAACUCGGAAUCUACGAAAAUUGGAACAAUCAGUUUGGUAGCUUAAGCCUCUAAGACUGAAAUAGUACCUAUUUAGACCCAAGAAUCAAAGAGAAUCAAAGAGCAACCUGAAAACGACCAACAAAAGCACAAAUGAGACUUCUGUACUCGAGACUCCUGGACCAUUCAUCAGUCUCACGUGCACGGAGAACUGGUAGUGGAUGUGACAGUUGACUGGUCUGAGCAUUUCUGUAGAAAGGAGCAUAUGUAAACAAACAAGAAGUGACUCUGAAGGAAGAAUAAUUUAAUUAAUCGCCACCACUUUUGUAUAGUAUUUAUUAUACUCUUCUUUAAUCGCAAACCCUAGUUGUCGGAGCUUGGAGAACAAGCAACACCAAACCGACUUAUUAAAACAAUAAUCAUCGAAAAGUCCAACAAUAAUAAGAAAAGAAACGAAAACAAAG